GAUGAACGCUGGCGGCGUGCCUAAUACAUGCAAGUCGAGCGAACAGACGAGGAGCUUGCUCCUUUGACGUUAGCGGCGGACGGGUGAGUAACACGUGGGUAACCUACCUAUAAGACUGGGAUAACUUCGGGAAACCGGAGCUAAUACCGGAUAAUAUUUCGAACCGCAUGGUUCGAUAGUGAAAGAUGGCUUUGCUAUCACUUAUAGAUGGACCUGCGCCGUAUUAGCUAGUUGGUAAGGUAACGGCUUACCAAGGCAACGAUACGUAGCCGACCUGAGAGGGUGAUCGGCCACACUGGAACUGAGACACGGUCCAGACUCCUACGGGAGGCAGCAGUAGGGAAUCUUCCGCAAUGGGCGAAAGCCUGACGGAGCAACGCCGCGUGAGUGAUGAAGGUCUUCGGGUCGUAAAACUCUGUUAUUAGGGAAGAACAAACGUGUAAGUAACUGUGCACGUCUUGACGGUACCUAAUCAGAAAGCCACGGCUAACUACGUGCCAGCAGCCGCGGUAAUACGUAGGUGGCAAGCGUUAUCCGGAAUUAUUGGGCGUAAAGCGCGCGUAGGCGGCUUUUUAAGUCUGAUGUGAAAGCCCACGGCUCAACCGUGGAGGGUCAUUGGAAACUGGAAAACUUGAGUGCAGAAGAGGAAAGUGGAAUUCCAUGUGUAGCGGUGAAAUGCGCAGAGAUAUGGAGGAACACCAGUGGCGAAGGCGACUUUCUGGUCUGUAACUGACGCUGAUGCGCGAAAGCGUGGGGAUCAAACAGGAUUAGAUACCCUGGUAGUCCACGCCGUAAACGAUGAGUGCUAAGUGUUAGGGGGUUUCCGCCCCUUAGUGCUGCAGCUAACGCAUUAAGCACUCCGCCUGGGGAGUACGACCGCAAGGUUGAAACUCAAAGGAAUUGACGGGGACCCGCACAAGCGGUGGAGCAUGUGGUUUAAUUCGAAGCAACGCGAAGAACCUUACCAAAUCUUGACAUCCUUUGACCCUUCUAGAGAUAGAAGUUUCCCCUUCGGGGGACAAAGUGACAGGUGGUGCAUGGUUGUCGUCAGCUCGUGUCGUGAGAUGUUGGGUUAAGUCCCGCAACGAGCGCAACCCUUAAGCUUAGUUGCCAUCAUUAAGUUGGGCACUCUAAGUUGACUGCCGGUGACAAACCGGAGGAAGGUGGGGAUGACGUCAAAUCAUCAUGCCCCUUAUGAUUUGGGCUACACACGUGCUACAAUGGACAAUACAAAGGGCAGCGAAACCGCGAGGUCAAGCAAAUCCCAUAAAGUUGUUCUCAGUUCGGAUUGUAGUCUGCAACUCGACUACAUGAAGCUGGAAUCGCUAGUAAUCGUAGAUCAGCAUGCUACGGUGAAUACGUUCCCGGGUCU
rnacentral:rRNA from 1 species